GGUGUCCGCUUGCCCUUGGGCUGUGACUGGAGGUUGGUUCUGUCUCUCCAGCCCCCUCUCCCACACCCCCCCUCCCUCUCUGGGCAGCAUCCCCUUGUCCCUGCCCAGAUAGGGAGCCUCUGUGAGUCUGGGGCCUCUGCUUUCUGUCUGUAUCGCCUCUUCUCUGCCUCUUCUGGGGGCGGGGGGGGGGGAGGGGAGGGGAGGGUCCCUCCCUGGGGAGGUGCUGCAGGUGCAUUUGGUGAGAUGGGAGCUGGGAUGCUCAUCUGGUCGGCACACCUGGCCGGGGCUCUGUCAGCACAGGGCGGGGGGAGGGCGGUGACAGUGAUGUCCCUGCUGAGUUCCAGUUGGGGAGACAGACAGAAAAUUUGGUGGGUGACAGAAGCUACAGUUUCUGGGUGACAGGCACGUGACGGACAGGGCCACAUGUGUGUCUUCACUUGUCCAGUAGCCACACAGAGCACAGACCCAGCUUUCAGCUCUGCUUGGCUUAGCCCAGACUAUCCAAGCAGCCUGGCCACGGCAGCAGGUGGUCAGGACAGGAAGCAGACACACUGAACUGCGAUACCUUUCCCUGCCCGGUAUGCCUUUGAGGUCCCGUGGGUCUGACGUGGUGACAGGUUGCACUGACUGUUUCAUAGACAUGUGUGGCUUCUGGGAAGGACAGCCAGCGUCUACAGGGGCUGGGGACACAGGGAUCUAUGAGUGUAAAGAGGGUGUCAGGAGCAGCUCCCCUGAAGAGAGUUUCAACUCAGCUGUGAGUGUGGAGCAGUAGGAAGAGUGCUCUCUAGCAAAAGGGUCCCCUUAGGAAAGGUGCUCCCCAGAGAGUGUCCCCUUAGGAAAAGUGCUCCCUAGGGAGAAGUGCUCCCCUAGGAAAAGUGUUCUCCAGAGAGAGAGGGUGCUCCCCUGGGAAAAAAAUGCUCCCCUAGGAAGAAGUGUGCUCUCCAGUAAGAGUAUUCCCGGCAAGAAUGCUCCCCUAGGAAAAGUGCUCCCUAGAAAGAGUGUCCCUAGGAAGAGUACUCCCCAGUAAGAGUGUUCCCCAGGAAAACCAUACACCAGGGAGACAGCUCUAGGAUGGGGAAUGGCCUGGGAACAGAGCUAGGGGACUGGUGGGGAGUGAGCAGGGAUGGUGGAGGGCUGGGAGGUGGGGUCUAAGAGGUGACAGAGGGACACCACACUGGGCUCCAGAGAAUUGAUUCCAAGGGUGACAGGAAGCUUCUGGAAGCUUCUCAAGAGAGUGACUGAUGGCGUCCGACUCAGUGGACGCAGUGAGGAGGCCCAGGUGAGUGAGGACGGAGGAACAGGUGGGGGUGGAUGUUUCCUGAAGGGAGUGGAAGGAAAAAGAGGAGAGGAGGCAAGGACAACAAAUCUUUAGUUCGUUCAUUCAUUCAUUCAUUCAUUCGCUCACUCGUUGAUUCACCGACAUGCCUUCCCCACCUCUUUUACCUUGAGCCGCUGCACCCAGUUUGAAGGGUACAGAAAAGACUUGAACUUCGGGUCUGGAGACUAAGGGCCAAGACAGACA